GGCGCCGUGGCUUAGUUGGUUAAAGCGCCUGUCUAGUAAACAGGAGAUCGUGGGUUCGAAUCCCACCGGAGCCU
rfam:Tropilaelaps mercedesae isolate Wuxi-XJTLT scaffold0000018103, whole genome shotgun sequence.